rnacentral:rRNA from 2 species
GCGGACGGGUGAGUUACACGUGGGUAACCUGCCCUUUAGUGGGGGAUAACAUUUGGAAACAGAUGCUAAUACCGCAUAAAUCCAAGAACCGCAUGGUUCUUGGCUGAAAGAUGGCGUAAGCUAUCGCUUUUGGAUGGACCCGCGGCGUAUUAGCUAGUUGGUGAGGUAACGGCUCACCAAGGCAAUGAUACGUAGCCGAACUGAGAGGUUGAUCGGCCACAUUGGGACUGAGACACGGCCCAAACUCCUACGGGAGGCAGCAGUAGGGAAUCUUCCACAAUGGACGCAAGUCUGAUGGAGCAACGCCGCGUGAGUGAAGAAGGCUUUCGGGUCGUAAAACUCUGUUGUUGGAGAAGAAUGGUCGGCAGAGUAACUGUUGUCGGCGUGACGGUAUCCAACCAGAAAGCCACGGCUAACUACGUGCCAGCAGCCGCGGUAAUACGUAGGUGGCAAGCGUUAUCCGGAUUUAUUGGGCGUAAAGCGAGCGCAGGCGGUUUUUUAAGUCUGAUGUGAAAGCCCUCGGCUUAACCGAGGAAGUGCAUCGGAAACUGGGAAACUUGAGUGCAGAAGAGGACAGUGGAACUCCAUGUGUAGCGGUGAAAUGCGUAGAUAUAUGGAAGAACACCAGUGGCGAAGGCGGCUGUCUGGUCUGUAACUGACGCUGAGGCUCGAAAGCAUGGGUAGCGAACAGGAUUAGAUACCCUGGUAGUCCAUGCCGUAAACGAUGAAUGCUAGGUGUUGGAGGGUUUCCGCCCUUCAGUGCCGCAGCUAACGCAUUAAGCAUUCCGCCUGGGGAGUACGACCGCAAGGUUGAAACUCAAAGGAAUUGACGGGGGCCCGCACAAGCGGUGGAGCAUGUGGUUUAAUUCGAAGCAACGCGAAGAACCUUACCAGGUCUUGACAUCUUUUGAUCACCUGAGAGAUCAGGUUUCCCCUUCGGGGGCAAAAUGACAGGUGGUGCAUGGUUGUCGUCAGCUCGUGUCGUGAGAUGUUGGGUUAAGUCCCGCAACGAGCGCAACCCUUAUGACUAGUUGCCAGCAUUUAGUUGGGCACUCUAGUAAGACUGCCGGUGACAAACCGGAGGAAGGUGGGGAUGACGUCAAAUCAUCAUGCCCCUUAUGACCUGGGCUACACACGUGCUACAAUGGAUGGUACAACGAGUUGCGAGACCGCGAGGUCAAGCUAAUCUCUUAAAGCCAUUCUCAGUUCGGACUGUAGGCUGCAACUCGCCUACACGAAGUCGGAAUCGCUAGUAAUCGCGGAUCAGCACGCCGCGGUGAAUACGUUCCCGGGCCUUGUACAGACCGCCCGUCACACCAUGAG